GUCCUUGCCUCCCCAAUGCCUCCCCAAUACCUCCUUAAUCACUCUCCCGGGGGAUUGGGUGGAAGGGGGGUGGGGGAAGCAAUCCCAUCUUCAUUGACAGCAGAGGUGGGUGCAGGUCUCUGUCUCUGGCCGGGUUCUGGAUGGGAGGGGGAGGCCACUGGGGACACUUGCCCCUUGCUGGGGCUGCCCACCUGCUGGAAGGGGCAAAAAGAGGGAAGCACACAGCAGCCAUGUUGGUGUCCUUUUGCCUUACUGCUGACCAAGUGAAAUGUCCUAGGCUUCACAGGCUUUCAGCUGUGAGCUAACUGCACAAGUGUGACGCUCCCUGUGCUGGAACACUUCUGGCUGGCCAUGGGGAUCCUAGGGCACGGCAAAGAUUGGCUGGAUUCCUUUCUGACUGCUUUAGCCACUAGUCCAUCCCUCUCUUGAGAGCCUUGCUGGGGCAGAGGUGAGCCCCAAGGAGCAGCAGGGGGAGAGCUUUGCUCCACCCUCUGUGCUGAGGUUUAGAGGCUGCUUUGAGCUGGCAGAGGGGGAAGUGAACUUGCAAGCUUGAGCUCCCUCUUUCCAGGCACUAUGUGGGCACCCUGUGAAGGCGAGAGCGUGACAUGGUCCUGCUUUUCCUGGCAGCCUUGUUGGCACUGUCAGACUUUGGUCAUGCACAGAAGGACACUGUGGUGCAGUUUGCCCAAGAAACUGCCAUCCAGGUGGGACACAACGCUACUCUGCACUGCAAUUUCUCCACCAGCACCUCUACUCCCUAUAUCUUCUGGUACCAGCAGCGCCUGACCCAGUCCCCUCAGUUCUUGCUGCAGGUGAGCAAGUUCAAGCCUCAUGUGCAUUCUGAGAGGAUCUCCUCCGUGCUCUCCAUGGAGAACUCCCAGGUGCUUCUCCACGUGCAAGAUGCCAAGCUCCAGGACAGCGCUGUCUACCUGUGUGCACUGAACCCACACUGGUGCCCUCAGCUUUCAGCUUUAUACAGGAAGGUGUGGGUGCUGUGAGGUGCAGUUCCGUCUCAUCACGGUUUACAUAGCGCUCUGAGCUGAGCCUGCCCAGCAAGGACACCUGGGGCUUGUGGUGAGCCAGCAGCCCCUGCUCCUGAUGCCUGGCAGUGUGGUUAGCAUAACCAACAGAAAGGCAAAUAUUCAUCAUGUGGAAGGGGCUGUUAAUGUGCACCCCUGCCUCCUUGUCUCUCCCUCUCACUGGCCCCAGCAUGCUGAGAUACCCACCAUUGUGGCGAGAAAGGGCAUUGGUGUUAUCAAGCUAGUAAUCAAACUAGCAAUUUAUUUGUAGUAAGCUUUAGGAUUUUGUAGUAAUUUUUAGUAUUUCUAGUAAUUUAUUAUGUAAUAAUACAUCCCUAAUUACAACCACAACCUGUGGCCAGUCCUCAUUCCACCAAGGAUCCGUAGAGAACCUGCCAGUGCUCUGUAGUGUUGGGAGACAGAGCUGGGUAUAGUCAGCAGGAGCCUUGUGUUAGAAUAAUGAAUGGUUCCCUUGAGAAAUGGGCCCCACUGUGAAAGGGUUUUCUUGGAAAUGGAAGGCAAGAUGCAAAGCAGCAAUGGCUAAGCUCAACACACCACAAUCCAAAUCCCUCAAGGAAUGAAUUUAAUAAAUGGAAAGAUGCAUGUACAGUAAGGAAAGAGAAAAGGAAAGAAGGAGAGUUAGCUGGCUGUUAGCUGCAAUGUGGAAAAUUGAGAAGGAGUGGGCUGGAAGGCGAUCAGGCCCAGUCAGCAUGAGUUUAUGAAAGGCAGGUCCUGCUUGACGAACCUGAUCUCCUUCUAUGACACAGUGACGCUCUGGGUGGAUGAGGGAAAGGCUGUGGAUGUGGU